UGCCAGCCGCCGCGGUAAUACAGAGGGCCCGAGCGUUAAUCGGAAUCACUGGGCUUAAAGCGUGUGUAGGCGGACAUGUAGGCAUCUUGUGAAAUCCCUCGGCUCAACCGAGGAACUGCAGGGUGAACCACAUGUCUUGAGACAGGUAGGGGUGGUCGGAACGGUAGGUGGAGUGGUGAAAUGCGUUGAUAUCUACCGGAACGCCAAAGGAGAAGUCAGGCCACUGGGCCUGUUCUGACGCUGAGACACGAAAGCGUGGGGAGCGAACGGGAUUAGAUA
rnacentral:rRNA from 1 species